UACAGAGGGUGCAAACGUUGUUCGGAAUUACUGGGCGUAAAGCGCGUGUAGGCUGUCUCGUAAGUCGGAUGUGAAAGCCCUGGGCUCAACCUAGGAAGUGCAUUCGAAACUGCGAGACUCGAGUCUUAGAGAGGAUCGCGGAAUUCUCGGUGUAGAGGUGAAAUUCGUAGAUAUCGAGAGGAACACCGGUGGCGAGGGCGGCGAUCUGGGCCGAUACUGACGCUGAGGAGCGAAAGCGUGGGGAGCGAACAGG
rnacentral:rRNA from 1 species